UCAAUUAUAAGGCCGAAGCUUCGCUUCGCGAAGCGCGGGGGAACCAUUAUUUUGGGGUGAAACCAAGUUUAUUGGCAGGGUCGUUUUCUCUUUAACCCGAAUCCGUCAGCUAACCUCGCAGGCCGUAAAAAGGAGAGAU
rnacentral:sRNA from 2 species